rnacentral:rRNA from 1 species
UAAUACGUAGGGGGCUAGCGUUGUCCGGAUUUAUUGGGCGUAAAGAGCGUGUAGGCGGUCAGGUAGGUCGGUUGUGAAAACUGGAGGCUCAACCUUCAGAGGUCGACCGAAACCCCCUGGCUAGAGUCCGGGAGAGGAGAGUGGAAUUCCUGGUGUAGCGGUGAAAUGCGCAGAUAUCAGGAAGAACACCCGUGGCGAAAGCGG